rnacentral:lncRNA from 1 species
AGAGGUCGAUGCAACCGCAUCAUCAGUGUACCCCCGACCUUCACCUUCGAACUCAUCGGAAGACCACGACGACGAAGACAUUAACCUGAGCAACUGAAAGAAGGAAACAGAAGAACGGGAAGAGAGCAGAGUGAGAGCGGGAGUCGGAGAGUAGAGGGAGGAGAGUGCGAGAAUGAGGGAGGGCCCCCCCACCUUUUAUAGCCGAAAAAGAGGGCUUCAAGAAAGCAUCUCAGCCGUCCAUCGAUGACAGAUCCAACGGAGGGAAACUCGUGACUCUUCGGUGAACAGAUGUGAUUGAUGGGUGAGAGGAUCAUGGCCGUUGUUGAAGGCAGGAUCGAAUGGCUAUAAUAGCGAGACGUUUCGUUGCCCAGAACCAUUUUGAGAGUUUAAGCCCCUUCGCUAGUCGAAGACGCUCGGGGCUUGGAGGGCUUGUGUAGUGGAGAGGGUUCAGUCGGACCGGUCGGACCAAGUGCCGUGGAGGGAGUUCGGUCGGGCAGGUAUGAGUGCAACUUAGGGCCGAACGGUGUGGGGCAGG